UACGAACCGUACAAACAUUAUUCGGAAUCACUGGGCUUAAAGGGUGCGUAGGCGGCGCGGAAAGUUGGGUGUGAAAUCCCUCGGCUCAACCGAGGAACUGCGCCCAAAACUACCGUGCUUGAGGGAGACAGAGGUGAGCGGAACUUAGGGUGGAGCGGUGAAAUGCGUUGAUAUCCUAAGGAACACCGGUGGCGAAAGCGGCUCACUGGGUCUCUUCUGACGCUGAGGUGCGAAAGCGUGGGGAGAAAACAGG
rnacentral:rRNA from 1 species